rnacentral:rRNA from 1 species
GGGGGGGGGGGGGGGGGGGGGGGGGGGGGGGGGGGCGGGGGGGGGGGGGGGGGGGGGGGGGGGGGGGGGGGGGCGGGGGGCGGGGGGGGGGGGAGGGCAUGGGAAGGUACUUGUGGGGGGGGGAGAGCGGAGGGAGGGUGACGCUGAGACCGCAUACGACCUACGGGGGAAAGCCGGCGAUCGGCGGACCUUGCGCGCCUCAAUGAGCCGAUGGCGGAUUAGCUAGUCGGCGGGGUAGAGGACCACCAAGGCGACGACCCGUAGCUGGUCUGAGAGGAUGAUCAGCCACACUGGAACUGAGACACCGUCCAGACUCCUCCGGGAGGCAGCAGGGGGGAAUAUUGGACAAUGGGCGCAAGCCUGAUCCAGCCAUACCGCGUGGGUGAAGAAGGCCUUCGGGUUGUAAAGCCCUUUGGUUGGGAAAGAAAAGCAGCAGGUUAAUACCCCGCUGUUCUGACGGUACCCAAAGAAUAAGCACCGGCUAACUUCGUG